rnacentral:tRNA from 1 species
GAUGAAGUAUACCUAGUGGACAUGGCAUCUGCCUGGUAAGUGGAACAUUGUGGGUUCGAUUCCCAUCCCUGGACACUUUAUUU